GUUUGCUUCCGCCACCGGUGCAGUGGUGGAUCCUCCGGGUGCAGCCUGUCAACGCAGCCAUAGAAAGCAUGAAGCUCUCUCCUCUCUGCGUCAUCGAUAGGAAAGCCUGAUCGGGCCAAUCCAAUGAUUAAGGGACAUCUGCUGUUUUGCUUCACCGGAUAAAGUGUAUUUAUCGGCACAACUGCUGUUGAUCCUGCCUAAAUGUUUGGGCUGCUGCUACUGUGUUGCUGCUUCUGAUUGCUGCUUCUGGCCAGCUUUGCGUCGCCUACUGCGGAGGCUCGCUCACCAGUUAAAGUGCUACUUUAACUGCACGCCUUCCUGCUGCCUUGCUUGGGCCGACACUCGAAGUGUGGAAGUCAUUGAACUCUGGGGCUAACUCCCCCCUAUAACUUGUCCUUACUUUGGCCAACUUGAUUUAAAUUAGUUUGUUUAUUUUAUUCUAGUUAAUUGUUUAUUUUGUUUAA